GACGAACGCUGGCGGCGUGGAUUAGACAUGCAAGUCGAGCGAGAACCGUAGCAAUACGGGGACAGCGGCGAAAGGGACAGUAAUGUGUAGGUACCUACCUCCGGGUUCGGGAUAGCUGCGGGAAACUGCAGGUAAUACCGAAUAACGUCUCCGGACCAAAGGUGUGAUUCCACCUGGAGAGGGGCCUGCAUCCUAUUAGCUUGUUGGCGGGGUAACGGCCCACCAAGGCGACGAUGGGUAGCGGGUGUGAGAGCACGACCCGCGUCAUUGGGACUGAGACACUGCACAGACACCUACGGGUGGCUGCAGGCGUGAAUCUUCGGCAAUGGGCGCAAGCCUGACCGAGCGACGCCGCGUGCGGGAUGAAGGCCUUCGGGUUGUAAACCGCUGUCGUAGAGGAGGAAAUGCAGGGGGGUUCUCCCCUCUGUUUGACCUAUUCUAGGAGGAAGUACGGGCUAAGUUCGUGCCAGCAGCCGCAGUAA
rnacentral:rRNA from 1 species